AACGAACGCUGGCGGCAGGCCUAACACAUGCAAGUCGAACGCUCCGCAAGGGGAGUGGCGCACGGGUGAGUAACACGUGGGAACCUACCUUCUGGUACGGAACAACCAAGGGAAACUUUGGCUAAGACCGUAUACGACCUCCGGGUGAAAGAUUGAUCGCCGGAAGAGGGGCCCGCGUCCGAUUAGGUAGUUGGUGAGGUAACGGCUCACCAAGCCUUCGAUCGGUAGCUGGUCUGAGAGGAUCGACCAGCCACACUGGGACUGAGACACGGCCCAGACCUCCUACGGGAGGCAGCAGGUGGGGAAUAUUGGACAAUGGGCGCAAGCCUGAUCCAGCCAUGCCGCGUGAGUGAUGAAGG
rnacentral:rRNA from 1 species